AGCAGCCGCGGUAAUUCCAGCUCCAAUAGCGUAUAUUAAAGUUGCUGCAGUUAAAAAGCUCGUAGUUGAAUUUCGGGACCAAUAUGUCGGUCGUGCUUCGGUACGUACUGUCAUAAUUGGUUUCUCCCUUCUGAAGAACCUUGAUGUCAUUAAUUUGGUGUCUUGGGGAAUCAGGACUGUUACUUUGAAAAAAUUAGAGUGUUUAAAGCAGGCUCGCGCUUGAAUACAUUAGCAUGGAAUAAUGAAAUAGGACGUUUGAUUCUAUUUUGUUGGUUUCUAGGAUCGACGUAAUGAUUAAUAGGGAUAGUUGGGGGCAUUAGUAUUCAAUUGUCAGAGGUGAAAUUCUUGGAUUUAUUGAAGACUAACUACUGCGAAAAGCAUUUGCCAAGGAUGUUUUCAUUAAUCAAGAACGAAAGUUAGGGGAUCGAAGACGAUCAGAUACCGUCGUAGUCUUAACCAUAAACUAUGCCGACUAGG
rnacentral:sRNA from 1 species